rnacentral:rRNA from 1 species
ACGGGUGAGUAACACGUGAGCAACCUGCCCCUGACUCCGGGAUAAGCGGUGGAAACGCCGUCUAAUACCGGAUACGACCCGCCACCUCAUGGUGGAGGGUGGAAAGUUUUUCGGUCAGGGAUGGGCUCGCGGCCUAUCAGCUUGUUGGUGGGGUAACGGCCUACCAAGGCGAUUACGGGUAGCCGGCCUGAGAGGGCGACCGGCCACACUGGGACUGAGACACGGCCCAGACUCCUGCGGGAGGCAGCAGUGGGGAAUAUUGCGCAAUGGGCGAAAGCCUGACGCAGCGACGCCGCGUGGGGGAUGACGGCCUUCGGGUUGUAAACCUGCUUUUACCACCAACGCAGGCUCGGAGUUUUCUUCGGGUUGACGGUAGGUGGGGAAUAAGGACCGGCAUAACUACGAUGCCAGCAGCUCGCGGUAAUACGUAGGGACCGAGCGUUUUCCGGAAUUAUUGGGCGUAAAGAGCUCGUAAGCGGCGUGUCCCGUCUGCUUGUGAAAAGACCGGGGGCUUAACUCCGGUUCUGCAGCGUAUACGGGGCAUGCUACAAGGUAGGUAGGCUUAAACUGGUAAUU